AUUGAACGCUGGCGGCAGGCCUAACACAUGCAAGUCGAGCGGAUGAAGGGAGCUUGCUCCUGGAUUCAGCGGCGGACGGGUGAGUAAUGCCUAGGAAUCUGCCUGGUAGUGGGGGAUAACGUCCGGAAACGGGCGCUAAUACCGCAUACGUCCUGAGGGUGAAAGUGGGGGAUCUUCGGACCUCACGCUAUCAGAUGAGCCUAGGUCGGAUUAGCUAGUUGGUGGGGUAAAGGCCUACCAAGGCGACGAUCCGUAACUGGUCUGAGAGGAUGAUCAGUCACACUGGAACUGAGACACGGUCCAGACUCCUACGGGAGGCAGCAGUGGGGAAUAUUGGACAAUGGGCGAAAGCCUGAUCCAGCCAUGCCGCGUGUGUGAAGAAGGUCUUCGGAUUGUAAAGCACUUUAAGUUGGGAGGAAGGGCAGUAAGUUAAUACCUCGCUGUUUUGACGUUACCAAAAGAAUAAGCACCGGCUAACUUCGUG
rnacentral:rRNA from 1 species